CAUUUUUCCCUGGGGCGGGCUGCAUUUUCCCGCGGGUGGGUAAGUUGAUGAUGAAGAACCCGGAAAUGCGCCAUCUUAGUCGUCUUUGUCCUCUCCUCCCCGUCCAGACAGAAAACGAUGUGCUUAUUUAAAAUAUAAAGAAGCAAACAUUCUUAGAGAAAGGAAGCGGGAGUGCAGGAGCAAUUCCAGUGGUCUAAGUAGGCACAACAGGCUGAAUAAUAUUAAGGAAAUGACAACACUACAGGAAGGGAUGGAGUUAGCUAAGAGGAGACAGAUACAACUUAGGUGACAAAAUCUUUGGAGUUGCCAUAUUAUAAUGGGUUCUUCCAGUGUGGCAAUCGGCACGACACUAACAGCAGCAGGGUUUCCAGUUGUUUCACCUUCUCCAGCCGACAACUAUCACUUUUUCUGAAUUCCAAAAAAAUCCCAGGAUAGAAUUGAAAAGAGUGGUUACGUUACCAAGGCUUUGACUAAAGUAUCGUAUUUGAGAAUGUGCAUAAAACAACUGGCUUCAGUGGUUCCUAGCAUCACAGUGAAUGAUUAGAAAUUGUCACUUCCUGGCAGGCACGGAAAACUAAAGAAUAUAAGUGGAAUCUAAAGUCUGCCCCCGUUUGGCUUCCUUCCCUCAAGAGGUAUUAAAAUCUGAGACUCCUAUGUGAUGAAUGUAUAUUAUUUUGAAGAAAAAAAAUGAAAUAUCAUAUACUUGUUAUUAGA